GGGCGAAGGGAGCAUGGCCAGGAAGGAGCCUUCUCUCGGAAGGAAGAAACAGCAGCGCAGCAGCAGCCACGGAGGCUUGGGGACAGGCAAGGCAAGGCCAGCAAGCACUUUCUCUCCCUUCCUCCGCUGUAGAAAACUACUCUCCGGAAUGAUCAAUCAACUGAUAUGACCUGUU
rnacentral:lncRNA from 11 species